GUGCUUAUUUUAACAGCACAUAUAUUUGUAUUGGAAUCACACAGAGAUCAGCAUGGCCCUGCCCAAGGAUGGCAUGCAAAUUCAUGAAGUAUAUCCGUUUUCU
ensembl:snRNA LOC120099413 U6 spliceosomal RNA